rnacentral:rRNA from 1 species
GUUAUAUGGUCAAGUGAAGAAGCGCAUACGGUGGAUGCCUUGGCAGUCAGAGGCGAUGAAAGACGUGGUAGCCUGCGAUAAGCUUUGGGGAGUCGGCAAACAGACUGUGAUCCAGAGAUCUCUGAAUGGGGGAACCCAGCCAGCAUAAGCUGGUUAUCUUGUACUGAAUACAUAGGUGCA